UAGGAAAACACACACACACACACACACCGCACACCACACACUUCUCCUUUCCACUCUCUAUUAAAUCAGCUGAAUUAACACUACAGGCACUGGAAUGCCUCCACAAAGAUUCAAACUCUUAGCAUCAAAGGGCUCUUAGACUCAGAUCACUACGAAAGGCACCGACACAAGGAAGAUGGUAGCAAGGAAAAGGCAGUUUUCCAUUUCAAACUCCCGGAGCCCCGGCUGGGCAUCAGGCGGUUUUAAAGUAUUCAGACAGGUGCAGAAACAUCCCAGCGCGAGGUGCCCGGGCUCCACAGAGAGCAGGAGGCUUCCAUCCACCCUUUCCAUCGCAACGCGGGAGCCCCCUCCUCAGAACCUCCAUAAGGCACCGAAGCGCAGCCCAGUACGCACGGGGACCCAUCUGGCCGAGCCCCAGGAAAGCAGCCACCGAGGGCAGACGCGCGCCUUACCUGCUGUGCCAAGGCUGCUGAGAAACAGACUGCCAGGUUGGAAACCUGCAUAUGUUUCUGGAGAAGAUAAGGGAUGCAACUGAUUUGCAAACCCAGGCACAAUGAAGAGAAAGCUCAGGAGGUACAGACAGUGUCUUCUCCCUUCACCCUUGAGCCUUGUCUCUCCUCCUGUCGUUUCACUGGCUACUGACUAUGGCUCCCAUGGAGUGCAAGCUUGGAAAAUGGGAUCUUUCAACCCAGUUCUUCCCCCAACAU